AUUGAACGCUGGCGGAAUGCUUUACACAUGCAAGUCGAACGGCAGCACGGACUUCGGUCUGGUGGCGAGUGGCGAACGGGUGAGUAAUGUAUCGGAACGUGCCCAGUCGUGGGGGAUAACGUAGUGAAAAUUACGCUAAUACCGCAUACGAUCUAUGGAUGAAAGCGGGGGAUCGCAAGACCUCGCGCGAUUGGAGCGGCCGAUAUCAGAUUAGGUAGUUGGUGGGGUAAAGGCCCACCAAACCAACGAUCUGUAGCUGGUCUGAGAGGACGACCAGCCACACUGGAACUGAGACACGGUCCAGACUCCUGCGGGAGGCAGUAGUGGGGAAUUUUGGACAAUGGGCGAAAGCCUGAUCCAGCCAUUCCGCGUGCAGGAUGGAGGCCCUCGGGUUGUAAACUGCUUUUGUACAGAACGAAAAGGUUUCUACUAAUACUAGGAGCUCAUGACGGUACUGUAAGAAUAAGCACCGGCUAACUACGUGCCAGCAGCCGCCGUAA
rnacentral:rRNA from 1 species